GUGAUGAUUAUAAUGUGGUUCGGAUUGCUCAGUUUGUCGGGAUGAAUGAGGUUAAAAUUUUUAGUCUUAAGUUUAAUGAGUGGAGUAAGGGGGAGGAUUUUCCGUAUCGGCUUGGGUGUACUACUCAGGGGGUGUUUGUUAAGGUGCGAUGCAUUGGGCGGUGAGUGUUUCUGCCCAAUUAGGGCUUGAGGUUGUUAGGAUUGCUGCUUUUGAUCUUGCUGCUGAAGAGUACUGUUUACUACCUCAGCCUUGUUACUCUGGUUUCGAGGAGUUUAUGGAAAUUGUGACAGUGCUAGGAGGGAAACUUUGUAUGAAUUGCAAUUAUAAUAUGAGGAAUGUUGACAUAUGGGUGAUGGAGAAUUAUGGUGUGGCGGGAUCGUGGACCAAGAUACUUACUAUUGUGCAGAAUGUUGCUCUUCAGUUUAUGCAACUGAAGCCUCUGGCAUAUUCCAACAAUCGUAAGAAAGUCCUUCUACUGAAAGAUUUUGGAGAGCUUGUUUGGUAUGACCUUGAAUUGAAAGUCAUCAAAAUGGUAAACAAUCCUGUCAUUCCUGAUUUUUGGAGAGCUUAUGGAUCUGUGGAAAGCCUUGUUAAGCUCGACAGUGCUCCUAGUACCGGUAUGGCACAGUUUCGAAAAAAAAAAAAAGAGCAAACUUGAUGAUUUUCUGUCCAAGGGGUUUAAACUCGUGUUCUAGUCAACUGAUAUAUAUAAUCAGGGCAAAUACAGGAAGAUGAUGUGUCAUUGACCGUUGUUCUGGGGUAGCUUUUUGGUUGUGCAGUGGAGAAGCUGGAGCUAUCCACCAAUCUGUUACUAAAUGAUUUGAACUAUUCUAAUUGUUCUGUAUUAAUCUGCUGUUUUUUUUUUUUUAAAGACUUGGAAGUCUAUUGUUCUGUUAUUGCGGUAACAGAUUCAAGUCGAUAACCUUUCUCACUCGGGUAUUGAUUAUUAUGGUGUUUGUGA